GAGCCAUUAGCUCAGUUGGGAGAGCAUCUGACUUUUAAUCAGAGGGUCAGAGGUUCGAAUCCUCUAUGGCUCACCA
rnacentral:tRNA from 4 species